UUUGACCUCGGAUCAAGUAGAGCCCG
rnacentral:rRNA from 1 species